UACCGCGCUGGAUGAUGCGGGAUGGAGAGGAGGAUGCUGGCGCGUCAUCCCCGCGCUUGUUUUGUCUCUUAGCAACAGGAAACAUCUGCCUCCGCGGGGACCAAUGAAGCUGGCGUCUCGUCUCUUGUUGCUGUCGAGGAGAUAUUUUAGGAGGCUGGAGUGCACCGAGGAUCGCACCGCGGAGGAGCUGCAGCCGGACCAGCACACUCUUCCCUAAAUACUGCUGGACUUCAUUAUUAGGUAACACUGCUACUACUAGUAUUGUUAUUAGCCUUGACUCAUUCACUUGGGUUUUUAAUACACUUUCAUGGUCUUACAUUUUCCUAGUUUCCAAUGCUGUGAUGACAAAAUAUAGUAGGAAGUCAACUUACUCAGACAGCAUUGUCAAAAAUGUACUAGUUAUCAAGCGAAUGGCAUUUAAUCUGUUUUUCCAUGAACAUUAUUUGUUGUAAAGCGGAAUCACACCAGAAGUGUGAGAUGCACACACGCAUCCUACACGUUCUCUCCUGUCAUGCAUUCCUAUUUUCCUGUAUUCCUUUAAUAUCACGUAAUGUCAUGUAUUGUGGAUGCGCUUAGACGUGUGAGUCACAGCGGCAGAGUGAACGUUUUGCAAAUAUAACGCUUCCCACUCGUAUUCACGGUGGAUUUGUGGCGUUAAAGAACCCCCCCCCCCCCAAACACACACACACACACACACACACACACACACUCCUCCAUCUGCUGGUCCAAUGAGCUCCUUUGCAAACACAUCUCUGAAUAGACGUUUUUCCGCUGUCGGACUAUCUUAUUUGUACACAAUAUGCCCACGGGUGCUUACAAACGUUAAAUAUAACAAAUAAAUGUGUGACUAAUUUACUUGGAUGACAAAGACAGCAGGUAAAAUAUACAUUAGCCGCAGAAACCUGGCGAUUAAAUGAUAUUUUCCUUGACUUUCUUCUAUGUGUGUGAUCAGAAAACAUAAUUUUGUUAGUUUAUAUGACAAUACCAUUGCUAUCAAUGUGUUUAAUAAACAAUUUUAUAUAUAUUGGUGCAAAUGUGUACAGCCGUCCUUCGCUAUAGCAUGGUUCGAAUAAAGCUCCCUCACUAUAUCGCGGUGUUUAAAAAAACCAUCAAUAAAUGAUUGCUGUUUUGUGGUUGACGACGGCCUAUAUUAUUCGUCAAAAAAUAACGAAAGACAAGUUAUAUGUAGUGUUCUGGUCACAGAACAGAGACAUGACGUUAGCUCACAUUACCUUUCCCGCUGCAUGGAGACUGGCUACUGAGCCAGCAGGGCCGAGCCGACAUGCCAUGGCUGAGAUCGAGUGAAAAAAGGUUCUCCUGUCACUCAGUGUGGCCGUGAGAAGUUUUUUGGCUUCUUUGUCUUUCUUCCCCACUCCGUUUGAAACACUUGUUUAUGUUUAGAAUAAGCAAAUUGGAGAGGCUAACUAGUUAGCUUGCUGGCUUGUCCCUGCAGUGAUCACGUGGCCUGCACAAUGUGAUGUAAACAAAGAAUAAUAGGAGUGUAAAAGUGACUAUUGGGGUGUUAUUUCAUGUCUACAGGGCUCUAAUAUUGUUAAAACCCGUAAUUUAGACAGACAUAAACAGGUUUUCUAUGCUCUAACUACGAAAAUAUUCCUUUUAUUAAUAUUGAAUCCUGCUUUGCGGAAAUUCACUUAUCUCUGUCAGGUUUGGAACCAAUUAACCGCGAUAAACGAGGGAUGACUGUAUUGAAUUGGAGUGAUUGAAUUGAUUUAGGAGUUUAGAAGCGACUUAGAAGCAGAGCUCACAGAACUUUAACAACAACCUGGAGUGUUUCCCUGCAGGAGUGUGAGGAAGAUGUGGACGUUCAGGUGGUCUCACACACAUUGACGCUAUACGACCACUUGUGGACCAGCAGCAGCAGCAGCUCAGCUCAGCUAAGCGGCAUCUUCCCGCUGGAGAGAGACCAACCCAUUCAACAACGUCGAAAGUCGCUUACUUCAAGAGGAAAUAUGCGGAGGAGGAGGUUUUGCACGGAGGCCUACGAGGAUAUUUUCAAAAACACCUGAUACUGCAAGAGGACAGGGGCUGCAUCCUCAAGUUGUCCCUGGAGAAGCUGAGGUUCCUGGAGGACCCUGAGGCCUACCUGCGGCGCUCCGUCCUCAUCAACAACUUGCUGAGGAAGAUCCACAGCGAGGAGGAGGAGGAUGUAGAGGAGGAAGAGGAGAUGGUAGGCGAGGGCGGGAUGUACUCAGACAGAAAGAGGGUGAAGGUACUGGUGAGCGACUGCUGCUCUCCAUCGUUGAGCUUCAAGGAGCUGCAGCGUUACAGUCUGGUGCCGUGCUGUCCUUCGGCAGGCUGCCUCUGCGGGCUAGACCCCGGCCCGGUCCUGGAACCGCUGGAUGCGGACCACCGGCUGCUCCUGUACAACCUGGACGACCACGGCUGACUGUGGGCUUCACGGCCACGAGGGUGUUCAAAAGCUGAGAAACUUACCAGGAAGGAAGCACCUGCUCUGUUUGUUCCAGAAGCUUCUGAGAAAGUCUGCUUGACACGCUGAGAGACCACCAUUAGAACCACCAUUACCACGCUUAGGAAGCCUGGAUCAGUGUCAAAGGUCAAGCUGUCACAGCAUCGAUGAUUGACUUUUAUUGCUCUUGUGGCUCACGUGAGCUUCUUCAGGGAUUAUUGGAUGCUCCUGUGAAGAUAUUUUUCUUACCUUUAAUGUCUUUCUUGGUCUAACAUUCAUUGACUGUGACAUCAUGCAAAGGUCAUUUUGUGGCCGCUCGCUCUUCUUGACUGGCUCGCUGCUGCUCUCUGCUGGAGGAAAAUUAACAUUGCAGCUAUUUUGUUUGUAAGGGUGUUUGCUGGAGAAAUGAAAAAGAGAACCCUGACAGUAUUUUUAAAGCAACAUCUCUUUAAAUUUGUAUAUUUUAUAGUUUCUUACUAUGUAUCCUACUUGGAGAGUUUGUACUGAAUUUUCACGUUUUAUUGAUCAAUGUGCUUUGUAAAGUCAACCUGUCCGCUUUGUGUCAAUAGUAAUUGAUGUCGUUCAUCCUCUCUACAAAUUACUGUGUUAUUUGGUUUGUGUUCAGGAACUUUACUGUGUUUCCACAUGUGUUUAUUCCUAUCAAGCAUGUGAAAAUAAUAACACAUUAUCCAAAAGAAGUUCAAUAUUUUAUCACAAAUAUAUAUAUUUUGAUGAAGCAUUUGUUAUAUUGUUGAUAUUUGACCAAUCAUUCCUUUUAAAAAGUUUGCGAAAAAGGUAUGAAAGGUGUUAAGAACACGCAGUCUAUGUGUGGAACUGCUGAUUGUCUGUCAUGCAUUAUGACCUUCUGUGCUGUGUUCUAAUAAAUCAGACAUCU